ensembl:lncRNA
GGCGGAUCGCCACCGGACCCCUGCUCCCACCUACACACCUGGACAAAAGGUUUGGCUGUCCACCAGCUUCGUCCCACUCAGGUCUGAAUCCAAGAAACCGUCUCCCACUUUCAUUGGUCCCUUUGAAGUCGACUCUGUGAUUAACCCUGUCUCUGUCCGUCUUAAACUGCCCCGGAAUAUGAAAAUCCAUAACACCUUUCACAUGUCACAAGUGAAGCCGUGCCUCUCUAGUCCUCUGUGCCCUCCUUCCAGACCCCCUCCACCCGCCCGGGUCAUUGAUGGCCACCCGGCUUUCACCAUUUCGCGGAUCUUGGAUGUCCGGCGCCAGGGGCGCGGUCUGCAGUAUCUCGUGGAUUGGGAGGGCUACGGGAUGGAAGAGCGUUCUUGGAUCCUGCGGGCGGCCCUUCUGGAUCGGGGUAUGGUGCGGGCGUUCCAUGCGGUUCACCCUGACAAGCCUGGGGGUCGCCGGGAGGCUCCCGUCGGGGGGGGUACUGUCACGGCCAGGCGGAUCAGCUGCACGCUGAUCAGCACUCUCUCUGUUUCUCUCUCUUCCUCUUUCUCUCCUCUCCUCUCUCACGGGCGGAACUCACUGUGGGUUCACGCCCGGCCCACGCCCUCGGGAGAUGAGACACCUGGGUCUCAUCAAGGUGAUCAGCAUUUAAGCCAGGAGGUGACUGCUGUUCGUCGCUGGAUCGUUGUCUACCACGCAGCUUCCUGGAUUUUUCCCCCGUGUGAUUCCCGUGUGGCAGUGUCGGAGUGUGAGCCUGUGAUCAUGUGAGUGGAUAAUCUGAAGAACGCGUGCUUUCCCCUGGACCUCCCUGGAGACCCUUCUCCCCUCACUCAGCUGUAUAUAGCACCCCCCGCACAUUCUUGUAUAUACACCUGGUGAAUUGUAAAUAAACCCUUCUUGUGAGCAUCAGAACCGGAGUCCUGCACUUGAGUCCUCCUCCAAACCGUAACAGAAGGCUUCAAACAGCAACAGAAACUCUGUUAUUCUGGGUGUUUCUAACCUUGAAAUCAUGCUGUAAGUGUAACUCAAGGCAU